ACCUUCGUAAUGUAACGGUAGCACACUCGGCACAUAUUCGAGAGGUCCAGGUUCGAGUCCCGGCGAAGGCA
rnacentral:tRNA from 1 species